AGUACAUCUAUAGAACAGGCUGCUUAUAUGGAUAUAACAAAGGAUUCCUUAGGAGGAUAUAUAAUAAAGUACAACAGCAGCCAGUCACUCAAAACCCUGUGAAAGAAGAAAACGUCUGUUAUGAGCCUAUCCUGUUUGCCAUGAAGAACUCCAAAGUCAUUAGAAGGAUAAUUGAAAGAUAUAAUAAGAAAAUGGCCCCUAUAAGAUACCCAACUCUAUACAACCAGCUUAGGAAUGAAAAAGAUGAAGUGGAUAAGUGGUACAAAUCUGGAAUAUAUAGGGUACCAGUCAAGAAUAACACCUUAGAAGAAGAUCAGGUAUACAUAGGAGUAACCACCAGAAC
rnacentral:lncRNA from 1 species